GAUGAACGCUGGCGGCGUGCCUAAUACAUGCAAGUCGAGCGAAUGAAUUAAGAGCUUGCUCUUAUGAAGUUAGCGGCGGACGGGUGAGUAACACGUGGGUAACCUGCCCAUAAGACUGGGAUAACUCCGGGAAACCGGGGCUAAUACCGGAUAACAUUUUGAACCGCAUGGUUCGAAAUGGAAAGGCGGCUUCGGCUGUCACUUAUGGAUGGACCCGGGUCGCAUUAGCUAGUUGGUGAGGUAACGGCUCACCAAGGCAACGAUGCGUAACCGACCUGAGAGGGUGAUCGGCCACACUGGGACUGAGACACGGCCCAGACUCCUACGGGAGGCAGCAGUAGGGAAUCUUCCGCAAUGGACGAAAGUCUGACGGAGCAACGCCGCGUGAGUGAUGAAGGCUUUCGGGUCGUAAAACUCUGUUGUUAGGGAAGAACAAGUGCUAGUUGAAUAAGCUGGCACCUUGACGGUACCUAACCAGAAAGCCACGGCUAACUACGUGCCAGCCGCCGCAGUAA
rnacentral:rRNA from 1 species